rnacentral:rRNA from 1 species
UACGUAGGGGGCAAGCGUUGUCCGGAAUUAUUGGGCGUAAAGAGCGCGUAGGCGGUCCGAUAAGUCGGCUGUGAAAGUCAGGGGCUCAACCCUUGAAAGCCGGCCGAUACUGUCGGACUAGAGUCCGGAAGAGGCAAGUGGAAUUCCCGGUGUAGCGGUGAAAUGCGCAGAUAUCAGGAGGAACACCAAUGGCGAAGGCAGCACUCUGGGACGUGACUGACGCUGAGACGCGAAAGCGUGGGGAGCAAACAGG